CUUUAUCUUUUCUUUGACUCUCUCAAAGAAAGAAGACUUAAGAAGCUCUCCUUCUCUAUUCCCAUGGGUCCAAUUAAAUCAGAAAAUUCUCACCUCACUUUUCUCUUAAGGAAAGAGUUAGAAGCUAUCUUGAGUCCACGGGUUCACACACCAAAAAGAAAGAUAAAGGUCCAAAUCAUUUCUUCUUCAUAUUCUCUCAAAGAAAACUCUCUCAAACUCUCUACCUCUCAUACUUUCAGGUCCAACCACUAGGAAAGGGAAAUCCUUUCAUGCAAGAGUGAUUUUAUUUCUAUUUCCCCUUAAGAACCAGAAACUUGGUGUUACCAGUAUCCAAGUUUAAGCUCCUUCGAUUUUAGGCUCUCGAUUCCUCUACUUUCAAGUAAGGGAUAAGUUAUAUGAGCAUUUGUCAACAGAUUUUAUUUUGGAGCAGAGCAAGCCUUAGUCGAGUUUUGGAAGAAGCUGGUUUUAGUUUUAUGUAUAUAGAUCCUAAAUUAGCAAUUUGAUAUUUAGAUUUGUAGUAUGGUGUAUUUUAGGAUCUAAUGAAAGUGGUGUACCUUAAAGUAUUAAGAGAUGUAUUAUGUGAAAGUGUGGAUAUUGAAUAAUUGGUAGAUUAUGUUAUUCUUGAGUACA